CCCCAGUUAAUGUCCUAUUUACAGCGGGCAUCUGUCAGCCUCCCUUUAUGGGUCAUGCCCCUCUCUCAAACUGAGACGCACCGCGCUGCUCCGCUACCCAUCAGCCCAUACAAAUGGUGACCCGACGAGGACACACUCUGACGAGGACCCUGCUGAGGACACACUCUGACCCUGCCACAGCUGGAUCCGCCAGAAGUUGCCUUCUUCACCAGAAAUAAUUAUUCUGCAAAGGACCUGAGCCCUAGGACCAUGCCUCAGGACUGCCUGGCUUGAGGACUCCUUGCUGUCCCCAGUCCAACUGGCCAUGCUGCUGAUCCAAUUUCAACUGUUCUGCCUGCGGCUAUGGAACCCUGACAUGCUACCUGUCCCAGACCUGCUGUUUUCAACUCUCUAGAGACAGCAGGAGCUGUAGAGAUACUCUUAAUGAUUGGCAAUGAAAAGCCAAUUGACAUUUACCUCUGAGGUGCUGACCUGUUGCACCCUUGACAACUACUGUUAUUAUUAUUUGACCAUGCUGGUCAUUUAUGAACAUUUGAACAUCUUGGCCAUGUUCUGUUAUAAUCUCCACCCCUCAUAGCCUGGUUCCUCUCUAGGUUUCUUCCUAGGUUUUGGCCUUUCUAGGGAGUUUUUCCAAGCCACCGUGCUUCUACACCUGCAUUGCUUGCUGUUUGGGGUUUUAGGCUGGGUUUCUGUACAGCACUUUGAGAUAUCAGCUGAUGUAAGAAGGGCUAUAUAAAUACAUUUGAUUUGAUGUACUCUGUACUAUAUUGUAGUAUUGUGCAACAGUGUAAUUUUAUCUGUUUUUUAAUCCUUCAAUGUAAAAUGCAUAGCUGCAGGAACAAGCAGUAGGAGUAGUGUGUGUGUGUGUGUGUUACUUUGAAUUAAAAUCCUAACCUUGGGUUUGAGUUAAUUAAUCCUAAAUGUAUUAGGGCAAUCUGCAAACUCAAAUUACUUGACCUGACGUUUUAAUUAUGAAUCCAUAUUUUGUAUUAACUAUUACCACACAGUGUCACACCUGCUCCCGCUCUCUGGCGCUCGAGUGGGUCAGGCUGCCCAUCAUCACCAUCGUUACGCGCAUCAGCACUUCAUUGAACUCACCUGUACUCUAACACCUAUUGCUUGCCUCCUCUAUAUCUGUCUAUUCCUCAGUUUGAUCCCCGUGUCAGCAUUGUCGUUAUGUUUCCCUUAUCCAGAUGCUGUCCGUGUUUUGUUUCAUGUCUAUCAUUUAUUAAAUAUUCACUCCCUA